rnacentral:lncRNA from 1 species
AGCCACCAAUUAUCAUACCACCACACCCUCCCAUUGUUAAACCACCACCCUUCAUUCCUAAGCCACCAGUUGUGCUGCCACCUUAUGUACCAAAGCCACCUAUUGUUAAACCACCGCCCUAUGUGCCAAAGCCACCUGUGGUGUUGCCACCUUAUAUACCAAAGCCACCUAUUGUUAAACCACCACCCUAUGUGCCCAAGCCGCCUAUUGUUAAACCACCACCUUACGUGCCAAAGCCACCUGUGGUGUUGCCACCCUAUGUGCCAAAGCCACCUAUUGUUGAACCACCACCCUAUGUGCCAAAGCCACCCGUCAUUUCCCCACCAUUUGUGCCAAAGCCACCUGUGGUGUCGCCACCUUAUGUACCAAAGCCGCCAGUUGUUGUAACUCCACCACCAUAUGUGCCAAAGCCACCUGUGGUUUCACCACCAUUUGUGCCAAAGCCACCUGUGGUGUCGCCACCAUAUGUACCAAAGCCACCUGUUGUUGUUACUCCACCACCAUAUGUGCCAAAGCCACCACCAACUCCCCAACCAACCCCUUGCCCACCACCCCCACCGACUCCCGUGCCAUGUCCACCGCCACCAAAGAAACCGGAGAUUUGCCCAAUUGAUACCCUCAAACUAGGUGCUUGUGUGGACUU